rnacentral:ncRNA from 1 species
GACGAGCCCGGCACCGGGCUCCCGGACGAGCACGCCGUACCCGGACAGCGACAAGACGGUGUACC